rnacentral:lncRNA from 1 species
CCCUUCAGUCGAUCUGUCCCUACCUCUAUACUCACCACUUCCAAAACUGCUUGAUGUAUGCAAAUAUCCCCACUCUCCUGCAGUGUCUCCAUCAUCAUCAUCAUCAAACAACAGUCCGUCCCGUUCAUCUUCUUCGUCUUCUGGUUCAGGUGGGAGCCACAGAAUUCCACUGCUUUCAAAAUCUACAGGUUCCAGAUUAACAUCUUGCGCAACAUAUAGGGAUGAUGAAGUUUCACAUUCAUCACUAAUAUACUGUUUUACUAUCUGCGGCACUUCUUCAGAAGCUUGGGAAUCAAAAUGGCUCUGCAAGGACAAGCUGUCCACACUUUUUUCAUCAACAGCUUCCCCAUUAGGAUGAAAUUUACGUUCAAACAACAGUCCGUCCCUUUCAUCUUCUCCUUCUUCUGGUUCAGGUGGGAGCCACAGAAUUCCACUGCUUUCAAAAUCUACAGGUUCCAGAUUAACAUCUUGUGCAGCAUAUAGGGAUGAUGAAGUUUCACAUUCAUCACUAAUAUACUGUUUUACUAUCUGCGGCACUUCUUCAGAAGCUUGGGAAUCAAAAUUGUUCUGCAAGGACAA